rnacentral:rRNA from 1 species
AGCGAACGUUGGCAGUGUGUCUUAAGCAUGCAAGUCGAACGGCAGCAGGCCAUGUAGCAAUAUAUGGUGCUGGCGAGUGGCGAACUGGUGAGUAACACGUAAGAAUCUGCCCUAAGGUGGGGGAUAACUCAUGGAAACAUGAGCUAAUACCGCAUAAUGCGAAGCUUAUAGAGAUAUAAGUUUUGUUAAAGGAGAAAUCCGCCAUAGGAUGAGCUUGCGUCCCAUUAGCUAGUUGGCGGGGUAAAUGCCCACCAAGGCUAUGAUGGGUAGCUGGCCUGAGAGGGUGGUCAGCCACACUGGGACUGAGAUACGGCCCAGACUCCUACGGGAGGCAGCAGUGAGGAAUAUUGGUCAAUGGGCGAGAGCCUGAACCAGCCAAGUCGCGUGAAGGAUGAAGGUUUUAUGAAUUGUAAACUUCUUUGCAGGGGAAUAAAGUGUCCGACGUGUCGGAUUUUGUAUGUACUCUGCGAAUAA